GAUGAACGCUGGCGGCGUGCCUAAUACAUGCAAGUCGAGCGAACAGACGAGGAGCUUGCUCCUCUGACGUUAGCGGCGGACGGGUGAGUAACACGUGGAUAACCUACCUAUAAGACUGGGAUAACUUCGGGAAACCGGAGCUAAUACCGGAUAAUAUAUUGAACCGCAUGGUUCAUUAGAGAAAGACGGUUUUGCUGUCACUUAUAGAUGGAUCCGCGCCGCAUUAGCUAGUUGGUAAGGUAACGGCUUACCAAGGCAACGAUGCGUAGCCGACCUGAGAGGGUGAUCAGCCACACUGGAACUGAGACACGGUCCAGACUCCUACGGGAGGCAGCAGUAGGGAAUCUUCCGCAAUGGGCGAAAGCCUGACGGAGCAACGCCGCGUGAGUGAAGAAGGUCUUCGGAUCGUAAAACUCUGUUAUUAGGGAAGAACAAAUGUGUAAGUAACUAUGCACGUCUUGACGGUACCUAAUCAGAAAGCCACGGCUAACUACGUG
rnacentral:rRNA from 1 species